rnacentral:tRNA from 1 species
AAGGAAUAGUUUAUGUAGAAUUCCAGCUUUGGGUG